GGUCGGGUCCGUCGGACGGACGGCUCGCCAACCUGGUCAGGGCUUGACGGCAGCAGCCAUACGCGUCGUCGUUCGGGCCGUCGAUCGCCUGGCCGUC
rnacentral:SRP_RNA from 4 species